rnacentral:sRNA from 1 species
AAAAAAGAGAGUAAGAGUUUAGAGUUCUAAGGGGGAUACAAAAGUGUUAAGUCUAGUAAAGGGUUUGGAAUUUAAAGAAGUUAGGAAGUGUGAUUCAAAGAAAAGGGUAAAUCGCCCUAUGUGCUAAGAUUAGAAGAAAAGCCUUAAGUUUGUCAAAGUAUGAAACCAAACCCGCUAGACUCUUAAAUCGUUUCAAAGGGAACCCCUUAGAACUUGAACCAAAAAGAGAGAAAGAAUGAGAAAAAGGGUAGAGUUAGGACAUCUAUGGGACUGGGAUCAUCUUCUGAGCUAUCAUAUUAUAUCAUUGGGUAGAUGGGAGUUUGUUUUUGUAUGUGUCCAUUGGCUUUUACCUUUAGCAUUCUACUGAAGCUCAAUCUUUUCUUUGAGAGUCCCCUGUUACUCGACCAAUCACUAGAGGGACCAUUUUUGUCUCUUAGCCUAAGCCCGAAACCAAAUGAGUUCAUAACCAUUGCAUUGCUUGAUCCACUGUUUGUGCUUAAUGAAUGUUAAAGGGAAUUGGUUGAUGUGAAUGCUUGAAUAGAUUAAGGCAAGUUGUUAGGUUUCAUUGUAACGAGUAUGGCUAACAUUUUUAAGUAAAGGUCUAUCAUCUUGCAACCUAGAAUUAGCUACCUAGACAUUGAGCUUACCCGUUUUAUAGACAUGCUUCGGUUUUUGAAUCCCCACCUUUAAACCUCUCCUUCAACUUAAGAUUUUUUGUUUGCUUGAGGGCAAGCAAGAGAUAAGUUUGGGGGAGUUGAUAACACUGUAUUUUACUCAUUUUAGGUGUAUGUUUAUCAUCAUUUAGCUUUGCAUUUGCUCAUUGUAUCAUAUCAUUGUGCACCAUUUUAGCUUGUUCUGCAUACUUAGGCAUCUAUGAUCAUCUUGCAUAUGCAUUGCAUUGUUUGGUGUAUUUUCAGGUGUAGAAGGAGCUAAAAAGGACUCUACUCGAUCCAUUCACUCGAUCCAUUCACUCGAUCCAGGCAGCUACAGAAGAGGCAUCAUUCUACUUGACCUCUUUACUCGAUCCAGGAUGCUACAAAGGAGGCUGCACUUUACUCGACCAUCUUACUCGAUCAAGGCAACCUCAGAUGAAGCAUCAGAUUGAUCUACUCGCCCCUCCUACUCGAUCCACUACUCGAUCCAUUUACUCGACCAAGGGUGACCAUCUCUACAAGACUUGUUGAGUUAUCAAAGCGUCUUUGGAUCCUCCUCAUUCCCCACUCAACCAGACAUCUGAGCAUACGGAUAGGAGAGGAAGAAGCAUAUACUCGACCAAUUGAUCACUCGGAGCAUAGACACAAAGGCGCAGACUUUGCAGCACCCUCUUUACUUUAUCCCCAAGAUCGAGUAUUCGCCCAAACCGCCUCAAGUCUCUUGUCUUCUAGUGAAUCUAGGGUUUCAACAUUUUACUAUAAAUAGAUCACUUUGGGGUUUGUCCAAAGGAUCUAUGCUUUAUCAUUCAGUUUUUCUUUGUGUUUAUGAAUCUUAAAACCUUAAUUACUCUUAAUCUAUUUCGUUUUUGCAUUUAGUUGUUUUAGUAAAGUUGUUUGGCUUAUUUAGAUCUACAUUUUGGUAUGAUUUUAGUAAUUUCUGGGUUUAUGUUCUUGAGAAUGUUGUUUGGCUAGUGAUUAGGGUUCUUGAGGAUGGAUUAGAUUAGGGUAAUCUCUAGGUUAGUUAGGUGGUUAGUGUUUAGGUUUAUACCCUUCUGGAUUCGUUUGGCCCCUAUGCGGUUUUUGCUGGCUAAUGUGGAGAUUCGAUCAUAGACGUCCAGCAUCCAAAAGAAGUUCAAAUGGAUGUCUGACCUACAAAUUCCAGAGAUUUGUAAACUCGACCAAAAGAUUGGCUUGUCUGCCUAUUUGCUUUGGUAGAUUGUUUCUUAAACCCUGCUAUGCUAUGUUUCAUCAACGAGAGUUGAGAUUAGGAAGUGGUAGAGUUAUGGGGGUCUCUGUCACGAGAGUGGAUUGACCCGGUUUUUGAAUCUAUCGUCAUGAGUAUCUACCUUUCGCCUAUUAGCCAUCUGAUGAACCCUAGAGUUGCCCUUAUCAAUGAAUCCAUCCUUAGAACUUCUAUUAGAUUUAUUUGUAUCCCUUGUUGAUUGCUCUUUUAUUUACCUGUUAUUUGUAUCCCCUAUUAGUAUCCCCUGUUGAUUGCAUUUUGUUACUUAAUUUUGUUGCCUGUUGGUUCUACUCGACCCAAUGAUCGAGUAGGGCUCUUUAAGUUCUCAUUUUUACUUGUUUGAAUCAUUUCCUAGGAUUGUUACUAGAAACCCACCAUCUUUAUAAUCUGGCUUGACUUAGUUGUUUCUGUACACAUCUUGAUUGCUAGCAAAAACAGUGGACUAGAUUGACACCCCUUAUAGCUGCAUCGACAUGUUUGUGUUUUAGGGGAAUUGAACUGAAUCACACAUUCACCAUAAGCAGGCGUGAAAAACCUGCUUAUCAAUUUGACACCGUUGCCAAUUGAUUGUUGCACUGUUACAUUCAAGAUAUCAGAAACUUUUAAGAUCAA